UACGUAGGGACCAAGCGUUGUUCGGAUUUACUGGGCGUAAAGGGCGCGUAGGCGGCAUGACAAGUCACUUGUGAAAUCUCCGGGCUUAACCCGGAACUGCCAAGUGAUACUGUCGCGCUAGAGUGCGGAAGGGGCAAUCGGAAUUCUCGGUGUAGCGGUGAAAUGCGUAGAUAUCGAGAGGAACACCUGAGGUGAAGACGGGUUGCUGGGCCGACACUGACGCUGAGUGCGCGAAAGCCAGGGGAGCAAACAGG
rnacentral:rRNA from 1 species